AGCAGCCGCGGUAAUUCCAGCUCCAAUAGCGUAUAUUAAAGUUGUUGCAGUUAAAAAGCUCGUAGUUGAAUUUCGGGGCAGUAGGCUGGUCGUGCCACAGGUAUGUACUGGUCUUACUGAUUCCUCCUUCCUGAUGAACCGUAAUGCCAUUAAUUUGGUGUUGCGGGGAAUCUGGACUGUUACUUUGAAAAAAUUAGAGUGUUUAAAGCAGGCUAACGCUUGAAUACAUUAGCAUGGAAUAAUGAAAUAGGACGAUCGAUCCUAUUUUGUUGGUUUCUAGGAUUGACGUAAUGAUUAAUAGGGACAGUCGGGGGCAUCAGUAUUCAAUUGUCAGAGGUGAAAUUCUUGGAUUUAUUGAAGACUAACUACUGCGAAAGCAUUUGCCAAGGAUGUUUUCAUUAAUCAGUGAACGAAAGUUAGGGGAUCGAAGACGAUCAGAUACCGUCGUAGUCUUAACCGUAAACUAUGCCGACUAGGGAUCGGGCGAUGUUCUUUUUCUGACUCGCUCGGCACCUUAAC
rnacentral:rRNA from 1 species